rnacentral:rRNA from 1 species
GAUUAUGGCUCAGGAUGAACGCUGGCGGCGUGCUUAACACAUGCAAGUCGAACGGAGUUUUUAAACGGAAGUUUUCGGAUGGAAGUUUAGAAACUUAGUGGCGGACGGGUGAGUAACGCGUGGGUAACCUGCCUCAUACAGGGGGAUAACAGUUAGAAAUGACUGCUAACACCACAUAAUAUAGCGAAACCGCAUGAUUUUGCUAUCAAAUAUUUAUAGGUAUGAGAUGGGCCCGCGUCUGAUUAGCUAGUUGGUGGGGUAAAGGCCUACCAAGGCGACGAUCAGUAGCCGGCUUGAGAGAGUGACCGGCCACAUUGGGACUGAGACACGGCCCAAACUCCUACGGGAGGCAGCAGUGGGGAAUAUUGGACAAUGGGGGAAACCCUGAUCCAGCGAACCGCCGCGUGAGUGAAGAAGUAUUUCGGUAUGUAAAGCUCUAUCAGCAGGGAAGAUAAUGACAGUACCUGACUAAGAAGCCCCGGCUAACUACGUGCCAGCAGCCGC